AUGCACGCUGGCGGCGUGCCUAAUACAUGCAAGUCGAGCGAACGGACGAGAAGCUUGCUUUUCUGAUGUUAGCGGCGGACGGGUGAGUAACACGUGGAUAACCUACCUAUAAGACUGGGAUAACUUCGGGAAACCGGAGCUAAUACCGGAUAAUAUUUUGAACCGCAUGGUUCAAAAGUGAAAGACGGUCUUGCUGUCACUUAUAGAUGGAUCCGCGCUGCAUUAGCUAGUUGGUAAGGUAACGGCUUACCAAGGCAACGAUGCAUAGCCGACCUGAGAGGGUGAUCGGCCACACUGGAACUGAGACACGGUCCAGACUCCUACGGGAGGCAGCAGUAGGGAAUCUUCCGCAAUGGGCGAAAGCCUGACGGAGCAACGCCGCGUGAGUGAUGAAGGUCUUCGGAUCGUAAAACUCUGUUAUUAGGGAAGAACAUAUGUGUAAGUAACUGUGCACAUCUUGACGGUACCUAAGCAGAAAGCCACGGCUAACUACGU
rnacentral:rRNA from 1 species